rnacentral:rRNA from 1 species
AUACGGAGGGUGCAAGCGUUACUCGGAAUCACUGGGCGUAAAGCGCGCGCAGGCGGCCUGAUAAGUUGGAUGUGAAAGCCUACGGCUCAACCGUAGAACUGCAUCCAAAACUGUCAGGCUAGAGUGUGGGAGAGGAAGAUGGAAUUGGUUGUGUAGGGGUAAAAGCCGUAGAGAUAACUAGGAAUACCAAAAGCGAAGGCAAUCUUCUGGAACACUACUGACGCUGAGGCGCGAAGGCGUGGGGAGCAAACAGGAUUAGAAACCCCUGUAGUCC